GUAGGGGGCAAGCGUUGUCCGGAUUUAUUGGGCGUAAAGAGCGUGUAGGCGGCCAGAUAGGUCGGUUGUGAAAACUGGAGGCUUAACCUUCAGACGUCGACCGAAACCAUCUGGCUAGAGUCCGGAAGAGGAGAGUGGAAUUCCUGGUGUAGCGGUGAAAUGCGCAGAUAUCAGGAAGAACACCCGUGGCUAAGGCGGCUCUCUAGUACGGUACUGACGCUGAGACGCGAAAGCGUGGGGAGCGAACAGGAUUAGAUACCCUGGUAGUCCACGCCGUAAACGAUGGGUGCUAGGUGUGGGCGGUGUCGACUCCGUCCGUGCCGAAGCUAACGCAUUAAGCACCCCGCCUGGGGAGUACGGCCGCAAGGCUA
rnacentral:rRNA from 1 species